CAGGCCUGGGCUCACUGGAGUCAGGGGCAGCAGUUUGUACAUAGGGCAGAGGGAGCUGGGAGGAAAGCACUGACCUGCAGAGAAAGAGAGUUGGAGUGUGUGGGCAGGUCAAGAGCGUGGCCUCUGUUGGGGUCGGGGGAGACUCUUCAGGCAGCUCCUGCUUGUCCCUGGGCUCCAGUGUGGAGACCAAGACACAAACCGGAAGCUCUAUUUAAUUAAGGAGAUUCCCCCCAUAUUGCUUUCUUCCGUUAUUUCAAAUGUCACCACUUUCCACUCCAUUGUUGAAAUCAAAGCCUGGAUGAUCCUUGACCCCUUCGUUCCCCUCAAGCCCCAUAUUCAAUCCUUUGCCAGAUUCUGUGACCCUCCCUGAAAGGUCUCAAGAAUUUGUUAAGCUCCCCUCCAUCGGCCUGUGCCUCCGCAGCCUCCCUGCCAGUAUUCAUGGUCACCCCUUUCCAAUCUACUCUUGAUCCAGUGGCUGGAGAAAUUUUUAUAAAAUGCAAAUCUGGCCUUGUCCCUCUUCUGCCCUAAAGCCCCCAGGGCACCAUUAAUAAAACCCAGGCUUCUCUCCACGACCUGCAGAUCCCUUCAUCAUCUGGCCCUGACAAACCACACUCCAGCCGCCGUGGCCUGGUGUCAGUUCUUCCCACGCUGUGAGUUCUUUCUGACUUUGGAGUCACAAUGACCUGGAUUUGAAUCCCGGGAAACCACGGGUCAGUGACUGUGCCUCUCUGCGCCCCACUCUGCUGGCUUCUGAAAUGGGUAUAAUUGUGUAGCUUCUUUCAAGGUUUAAACAAUACAACCAACAGGUGUGGAGCACUCUUUGGCUGGAAACUUACCGUCCCACUGGAAAGGGAGGAGAGAGAGAUUUAGUCUAGUGAUAAUUUCACCUGCCUCUUCUACUUUAACAACAAAGUAAGUCAAGAGACAUUCAUAAAUCUUGGCUUCUUUUUAACUGAGUUAUACAAUGAAGUAUCAACUGUUUUCACUUUUUAAAGAAAACUACAACGUCUCCAUCUCCUUAUUUUGAAUGUGGUAUUAAUUCCUCCCUUGCUUUUCUU
rnacentral:lncRNA from 1 species